UACGAAGGGGGCUAGCGUUGUUCGGAAUUACUGGGCGUAAAGCGCACGUAGGCGGAUUAGUAAGUCAGGGGUGAAAUCCCGGGGCUCAACCUCGGAACUGCCUUUGAUACUGCUGAUCUCGAGUCCGGAAGAGGUGAGUGGAAUUCCUAGUGUAGAGGUGAAAUUCGUAGAUAUUAGGAAGAACACCAGUGGCGAAGGCGGCCCACUGGUCCGGUCCUGACGCUGAGGUGCCAAAGCGUGGGGCGCAAGCACG
rnacentral:rRNA from 1 species